CAGUCGCCGCGGGAAUACGAAGGUCCCAAGCGUUGUUCGGAAUCACUGGGCGUAAAGGGAGCGUAGGCGGCGUGGUAAGUCAGAUGUGAAAUCCCGGGGCUCAACCCCGGAACUGCAUCCGAUACUGCCAUGCUUGAGGGUUGGAGAGGUAGCUGGAAUUCUCGGUGUAGCAGUGAAAUGCGUGGAUAUCGAGAGGAACACUCGUGGCGAAGGCGAGCUACUGGACAACAUCUGACGCUGAGGCUCGAAGGCUAGGAUAGCGAAAGGAAUUAGAUACCCCCGUAGUCCCUGUCUCUUAUAC
rnacentral:rRNA from 1 species